rnacentral:rRNA from 1 species
ACCGGGUUUCAGUAGGUGAACCUGCGGAAGGAUCAUUGUCGAUACCUGUCCAAAACAGAACGACCCGUGAACCAACUAUCAUCACUUGCGGUGGGCCGGUUUCUUAGCUGAUGCCCGCCGAAUCCUUGGUUUCGCGUGCCGUUCCGAACGGUCGUGCGCGUAGCUGAUGGAUAUCACAACAUCACGGCACGAAAAGUGUCAAGGAACAUGCAACCGAACAGCCAGCGUUCGCCUUCCGGAGACGGUGCGUGUGCGAAUGCUGUGCUGUGUUCUAAAGUCUAAAACGACUCUCGGCAACGGAUAUCUCGGCUCUCGCAUCGAUGAAGAACGUAGCGAAAUGCGAUACUUGGUGUGAAUUGCAGAAUCCCGUGAACCAUCGAGUCUUUGAACGCAAGUUGCGCCCCAAGCCUUCUGGCCGAGGGCACGUCUGCCUGGGCGUCACAAAUCGUCGUCCCCCACACAAAAUUUUGCGAGUGUUGGACGGAAUCUGGUCUCCCGUGUGUUACCGCACGCGGUUGACCAAAAUACGAGCUAAGGAUGCUGGGAGCGUCCCGACAUGCGGUGGUGAUCUAAAGCCUCUUCAUAUCGCCGGUCGCUCCUGUCCAUAAGCUCUCGUUGACCCAUUUCCUCAAAGCGACCCCAGGUCAGGCGGGAUCACCCGCUGAGUUUAAGCAUUAAAU